rnacentral:lncRNA from 1 species
CACAUAAGCAAUCACAGCAUCCGCGCCUUCCAUUUGGCUAGAAGUUUCGGAACCAGAGAGACCGAAAGCCAUGUAUUCAUCUUCACCUAAGGGUUUUUGUUACACCGAAACAAACUGACUUGCCCCAUUCAUCCGGUACGAUGAAGCCUUGUGGACCAGGUCGAUUCGACGCACCAGCCCAGAAAAAGGUGUCAGCUCCAUUGCCAUCGUAACUAAAGGAAGUUAACAACAACGUGUACUCGUCAACGACGUAAACGUCACCAGCUACUUGAUGAUGAUACGCGUUCAACUUCCCAAGUUCUGUCGCCACUAAGAUUCAUGGAAAAACGAAAGCUCGAUCGCAAGCCAGGCGACGAAGCCUCUAGAAGAGAACGACAGGGCACGCAGUCACUGCAAUGGACGCGGUUCCGACUUGUUCUGGCCACCGUCUUUAGAAAGUAGACUUUGAGUGUUCGAACGGCUUACUAUACCGCUCUCCAGCCACCUUGGCACGUGUUCCUGUC